rnacentral:rRNA from 1 species
AACAAACGCUGGCGGCGUGCCUAACACAUGCAAGUCGUACGAGAAAGGGUCCUUCGGGAUCCGAGUAAAGUGGCGCACGGGUGAGUAACGCGUGGAUAAUCUGCCUUCAAGACGGGAAUAACAUUGCGAAAGCGAUGCUAAUACCGGAUAAGCUCACGAUUUGAUUAGUUGUGGGAAAAGAUGGCCUAGUCUAUGCUAUCGCUUGAAGAUGAGUCCGCGUACCAUUAGCUAGUUGGUAGGGUAAUGGCCUACCAAGGCUAUGAUGGUUAGCUGGCCUGAGAGGGCGGCCAGCCACACUGGAACUGAGAUACGGUCCAGACUCCUACGGGUGGCAG